rnacentral:rRNA from 1 species
UACGAAGGGGGCUAGCGUUGCUCGGAAUCACUGGGCGUAAAGCGCACGUAGGCGGCUUUUUAAGUCAGGGGUGAAAUCCUGGAGCUCAACUCCAGAACUGCCUUUGAUACUGAGAAGCUCGAGUCCGGGAGAGGUGAGUGGAACUGCGAGUGUAGAGGUGAAAUUCGUAGAUAUUCGCAAGAACACCGGUGGCGAAGGCGGCUCUCUGGACCACUACUGACGCUGAGGCGCGAAAGCUAGGGGAGCAAACAGGG